AUUGAACGCUGGCGGCAGGCCUAACCCAUGCAAGUCGAGCGAGCGGCGGACGGGUGAGUAAUGUCUGGGAAACUGCCUGAUGGAGGGGGAUAACUACUGGAAACGGUAGCUAAUACCGCAUACCAUCAGAUGUGCCCAGAUGGGAUUAGCUAGUAGGUGGGGUAAUGGCUCACCUAGGCUACGAUCCCUAGCUGGACUGAGAGGAUGACCAGCCACACUGGAACUGAGACACGGGCUCAGCUCCUACGGGAGUCAGCAGUGGGGAAAAGUGCACAAUGGGCGCAAGCCUGAUGCAGCCAUGCCGCGUGUGUGAAGAAGGCCUUCGGGUUGUAAAGCACUUUCAGCGGGGAGGCGUUACCCGCAGAAGAAGCACCGGCUAACUCCGUGCCAGCAGCCGCGGUAAUUC
rnacentral:rRNA from 1 species